rnacentral:rRNA from 1 species
UACGAAGGGGGCUAGCGUUGCUCGGAAUCACUGGGCGUAAAGGGUGCGUAGGCGGGUCUUUUAAGUCAGGGGUGAAAUCCUGGAGCUCAACUCCAGAACUGCCUUUGAUACUGAGGAUCUUGAGUUCGGGAGAGGCGAGUGGAACUGCGAGUGUAGAGGUGAAAUUCGUAGAUAUUCGCAAGAACACCAGUGGCGGAAGGCGGCUCACUGGCCCGAUACUGACGCUGAG